rnacentral:rRNA from 1 species
CACGCUGUAAACGAUGGAUACUAGGUGUGGGGGAGAUACAACCUCCGUGCCGGAGCAAACGCAAUAAGUAUCCCGCCUGGGGAGUACGGCCGCAAGGCUGAAACUCAAAGGAAUUGACGGGGACCCGCACAAGCAGCGGAGCAUGUGGUUUAAUUCGAAGCAACGCGAAGAACCUUACCAAGGCUUGACAUCCCUUGACGCGCAUAGAAAUAUGCGUUCCCUUCGGGGCAAGGAGACAGGUGG